rnacentral:ncRNA from 1 species
CGGAUAGAGGUGCGGAUUAAAAAAGUAUUCCGAUUUACGUUCGGGUCGGACGCGGAAAAAAGGUUAAUCUGCCGAAGCGAUAGACUUUGACCUACGGUUUAUACGCUGGGACGCAGCGAAAUACGUUGCGGACUGUCACAAGAAAUUGUGGAGCGCUAUCA